rnacentral:tRNA from 1 species
GGGAGUGUAGCUCAACGGUUAGAGCCAUCCGCUCAUAACGGAUUGGUUAUCGGUUCAAGUCCGGUCACUCCCACCA